CUGACGGCGUGCUUGACUCCCGGGCGUCGAACGGUGAACCAGGUGCUUGCCCUUGGGGAUCAGUGGCGAACGGGUGAGUAACACGUGAGCAAUCUGCCCCUGACUCUGGGAUAAGCGCUGGAAACGGUGUCUAAUACUGGAUAUGAGCUGUGACCGCAUGGUCGGCAGUUGGAAAGAUUUUUCGGUCAGGGAUGAGCUCGCGGCCUAUCAGCUUGUUGGUGAGGUAAUGGCUCACCAAGGCGUCGACGGGUAGCCGGCCUGAGAGGGUGACCGGCCACACUGGGACUGAGACACGGCCCAGACUCCUACGGGAGGCAGCAGUGGGGAAUAUUGCACAAUGGGCGGAAGCCUGAUGCAGCAACGCCGCGUGAGGGAUGACGGCCUUCGGGUUGUAAACCUCUUUUAGCAGGGAAGAAGCUUUUGUGACGGUACCUGCAGAAAAAGCGCCGGCUAACUACGUGCCAGCAGCCGCGGUAAUACGUAGGGCGCAAGCGUUAUCCGGAAUUAUUGGGCGUAAAGAGCUCGUAGGCGGUUUGUCGCGUCUGCUGUGAAAUCCCGAGGCUCAACCUCGGGCCUGCAGUGGGUACGGGCAGACUAGAGUGCGGUAGGGGAGAUUGGAAUUCCUGGUGUAGCGGUGGAAUGCGCAGAUAUCAGGAGGAACACCGAUGGCGAAGGCAGAUCUCUGGGCCGUAACUGACGCUGAGGAGCGAAAGGGUGGGGAGCAAACAGGCUUAGAUACCCUGGUAGUCCACCCCGUAAACGUUGGGAACUAGUUGUGGGGUCCAUUCCACGGAUUCCGUGACGCAGCUAACGCAUUAAGUUCCCCGCCUGGGGAGUACGGCGCAAGGCUAAAACUCAAAGGAAUUGACGGGGACCCGCACAAGCGGCGGAGCAUGCGGAUUAAUUCGAUGCAACGCGAAGAACCCUUACCAAGGCUUGACAUACACGAGAACG
rnacentral:rRNA from 2 species